CUCUUCUUUCUUAAGCAUGAAUGCCACUACAGUUUUUUUUUCACGAGAUCUGCACUUUAAGGAAUUUAGCUUUUAUAUAACACAUAGUGAAUGAGCGUAUGUACUUCUCUGUGGCUACCCAUAAGGUAAUACAUUGUCACUUUUCAACAGGAUUGCAGAGUGGCUUUGCUAAAAAGAAUACUUGCCCACUCUGUUCUGUGUUCUUUGUGAGUGCUUUGCUCCGUAUGCUUCUUGGGUGAGUGACUGAUCUAGAGAAUCUGACUUUCCAUUACUCUAAGGGCCAGAUACGGUUGGAAGAACAAAAGAAAACAUGGAAGGGAAACUGAAGGUAAAUAUUUGUUCCUUUUCCUAAGCUACUGCCACUCGGGCGGGGGGAGGGAUUUUGUUUUUAAUGCAUAUUGACAGCACGCUUUACUUAGUAGCUAGCUUCCAUUUGUGUAGAUUCUACCUAAUGUAACUUCUUUUUUGCCUAAGAAUUUGCAAGACUAUUAGUUCUUCAAAGUCAAUUUUUUAAAAUGCACAAGUUAUAAAUACAGAAGAAAGAUCAACCCCCCAAACCUAACAAGGACCCCGAACAUUUUCAUAUUAAGACUGUAAGUAGAUGUCAGUUCAGCGUUUAUUGUAAGUUGGUCAAAACAUCUGGAAGAAAAUGACUAAAACUGCAUCUUUGUAUGUAUUUAUUACUUGAUGUAAUAAAGCUUAUUUUCAUUAACAACUUGUAUAUAAAAAGAAGAAAUGACAGAUGAGCUUUAUAAAGGGGAGUGCUAAUAUUCAGCAAGCAAACACCAGUAUUUCAUUAGUUCGAAAGCACUAGCUUUUAUAAGGUCUUUGAUCAAGUUGGUGUAGAUAGAAAAUAUCCUCUUUGACACAGGUUUCGUCAGAUACAACGCUAUAGAACGCAAGAUUGCUGAUUAAAGAUCUUCAGUUAAUCCAUCCAUUUGGAACUUUAGUUGGUCAUGAAUAAUUUCAUUGUUCUUUCUUUUUGCUCCUUUUUAAACCAAAGGUCUCUUUCCAGAUAAUUUGAAAUUGACCCACUAUUUUUUUUUUUUUUUUUUUUUUUUUUUUUUUUUAGACGGAGUUUCGCUCUUGUGACCCAGGCUGGAGUGCAAUGGUGCAAUCUCGGCUCACUGAAACCUCCGCCUCCUGGGUUCAGGCAAUUCUCCUGCCUCAGCUUCCCGAGUAGCUGGGAUUACAGGCACGCACCACCAUGCCCAGCUAAUUUUUUGUAUCUUUAGUAGAGACGGGGUCUCACCAUGUUGACCAAGAUGUCUCGAUCUCUAGACCUCAUGAUCCACCCGCCUCGGCCUCCCAAAGUGCUGGGAAUUACAGGCGUGAGCCACCGCUCCCGGUCGAAAUUGACCCACUAUUAUCAGUUUUGAUAAUUAUUGCUAAUUUUGUUCCUUCUAGGAAUAUUUACAUUUUACAGAAAUCAAAACUUUCACACUAAUGGUAAAUUUUUGAAGCCUUGUCUAGUUUUUUUUUUUAAUUAGUGUUUAGAAAAAUAAGGUGUUUCUAUGAAAUGCUAAUUUUAUGAAAGCAUUAACAGUAUUUUUAUUUUCGCUGAAAUGAAGAGGCAAAAAAUUUAAGGAAAUUUUAACACUAUUUUAUAUAUAAUU
rnacentral:lncRNA from 1 species